rnacentral:rRNA from 1 species
UACGGAGGGGGCUAGCGUUGUUCGGAAUUACUGGGCGUAAAGGGCGCGUAGGCGGCCUGCUAAGUCGAACGUGAAAUCCCUGGGCUCAACCCAGGAACUGCGUCCGAUACUGGUUGGCUUGAAUCCGGGAGAGGGAUGCGGAAUUCCAGGUGUAGCGGUGGAAUGCGCAGAUAUCAGGAGGAACACCAAUAGCGAAGGCAGCUCGCUGGGACGGUACUGACGCUAAGGCGCGAAAGCGUGGGGAGCAAACAGG